rnacentral:rRNA from 1 species
UACAGGGGGGGCAAGCGUUGUUCGGAAUUACUGGGCGUAAAGGGCUCGUAGGUGGCCAACUAAGUCAGACGUGAAAUCCCUCGGCUUAACCGGGGAACUGCGUCUGAUACUGGAUGGCUUGAGGUUGGGAGAGGGAUGCGGAAUUCCAGGUGUAGCGGUGAAAUGCGUAGAUAUCUGGAGGAACACCGGUGGCGAAGGCGGCAUCCUGGACCAAUUCUGACGCUGAGUGAGCGAAAGCCAGGGGAGCAAACGGG